GACGAACGCUGGCGGCGUGCCUAACACAUGCAAGUCGAACGAGGUCCAAGGAAGCUUGCUUCCUGAAGACCUAGUGGCGAACGGGUGAGUAACACGUGAGAAACCUGCCUCGGAGUGGGGAAUAACUCGGGGAAACUCGAGCUAAUACCGCAUACCUUCACAUGAUCGCAUGGUCGAGUGAAGAAAGAAUUUCGCUCUGAGAGGGUCUCGCGGCCUAUCAGCUUGUUGGUGGGGUAACGGCCUACCAAGGCAACGACGGGUAGCUGGUUUGAGAGAACGAUCAGCCACACUGGGACUGAGACACGGCCCAGACUCCUACGGGAGGCAGCAGUGGGGAAUCUUGCGCAAUGGGCGAAAGCCUGACGCAGCAACGCCGCGUGCGGGAUGACGGCCUUCGUGGUUGUAAACCGCUUUCAGCAGGGACGAAAAUGACGGUACCUGCAGAAGAAGCCCCGGCUAACUACGUGCCAGCAGCCG
rnacentral:rRNA from 1 species